UUCGCUCGCCGAGCUCGAGCCGAAGGAGAAGGGGGGUAAGUGAGGAGGUCUCUGUACCAUGGCUCGUACAAAGCAGACUGCCCGCAAAUCGACCGGUGGUAAAGCACCCAGGAAGCAACUGGCUACAAAAGCCGCUCGCAAGAGUGCGCCCUCUACUGGAGGGGUGAAGAAACCUCAUCGCUACAGCGUCUGGUGCGAGAAAUUGCUCAGGACUUUAAAACAGAUCUGCGCUUCCAGAGCGCAGCUAUCGGUGCUUUGCAGGAGGCAAGUGAGGCCUAUCUGGUUGGCCUUUUUGAAGACACCAACCUGUGUGCUAUCCAUGCCAAACGUGUAACAAUUAUGCCAAAAGACAUCCAGCUAGCACGCCGCAUACGUGGAGAACGUGCUUAAGAAUCCACUAUGAUGGGAAACAUUUCAUUCUCAAAAAAAAAAAAAAAAAAAAAUUCUCUUCUUCCUGUUAUUGGUAGUUCUGAACGUUAGAUAUUUUUUUUCCAUGGGGUCAAAAGGUACCUAAGUAUAUGAUUGCGAGUGGAAAAAUAGGGGACAGAAAUCAGGUAUUGGCAGUUUUUCCAUUUUCAUUUGUGUGUGAAUUUUUAAUAUAAAUGCAGAGGCGUAAAGCAUUAAUGCAAGUUAAAAUGUUUCAGUGAACAAGUUUCAGCGGUUCAACUUUAUAAUAAUUAUAAAUAAACCUGUUAAAUUUUUCUGGACAAUGCCAGCAUUUGGAUUUUUUU